rnacentral:rRNA from 1 species
AGUGAACGCUGGCGGCAGGCCUAACACAUGCAAGUCGAACGGCAGCACAGCAGUAGCAAUACUGUGGGUGGCGAGUGGCGGACGGGUGAGGAAUGCAUCGGAAUCUGCCUAUUUGUGGGGGAUAACGUAGGGAAACUUACGCUAAUACCGCAUACGACCUACGGGUGAAAGUGGGGGACCGCAAGGCCUCACGCAGAUAGAUGAGCCGAUGCCGGAUUAGCUAGUUGGCGGGGUAAAGGCCCACCAAGGCGACGAUCCGUAGCUGGUCUGAGAGGAUGAGCAGCCACACUGGAACUGAGACACGGUCCAGACUCCUACGGGAGGCAGCAGUGGGGAAUAUUGGACAAUGGGCGCAAGCCUGAUCCAGCCAUGCCGCGUGAGUGAAGAAGGCCUUCGGGUUGUAAAGCUCCUUUGUCCGGAAAGAAAAGCUUCGGGUUAAUAACCCGGGGUCAUGACGGUACCGGAAGAAUAAGCACCGGCUAACUUCGUGCCAGCCGCCGCGGUAA